CUUGUUUGACUACAACAAAUUGUUAAGAAUUAUAAGAGGUUGACACAGAACAAGAAGCGCGGUUUUAGACAAUUCAAGUUUUUUUUUUUUAUGGAAGGUGUACCUAACAGACUACAAACUUACCAUCUCUAGUGUAUUAGCAAAAAUAUCAGAGACGUGAAGAGUUAAAACAUUUGACGUAUUAUCUUUAUAGUCUACGCGUUUAUUUUGAUAGCUUUCACAUUGUGAACGUCCUAAGAGGAUAUCGCAAACGCCAUUAUUACGGGAUUUGUUACUAGUGAUAGGGAACCAUUGAGGUGCAAUACAAAAAGGGAAUCCCUCUUUUUGUAUGUCAGAAAAUCCAACAAUUGCCUACACACAUUCACACAAUAGAGAGUAGGUUAUCCUACUAUGCGAGUCAAGCGUUACUCGAUAUUGGUGCUCUAUGGAUAAACCGUUAUCAUUGUUGUAUAAAAAAAUGUUAUGUUGUAAAAAG